AGACAGUAUCUGUGAAUGGAAGGUUAAGGCACAGCCAUCCAUCUUCUGACGCCCAGGAAGGUGGCUACACGUUUCGCUGCCAUACUGCACUUCCCUGAUUCCACUUCACAGAGCAGCCUCACCCCAGCAGAGAAUGAAUUAUCAAGUGUGCAGGACCAGUGAUGCAGGUGGUAACAAGAAUUUACCCAGGCCAGGAAAAGAGUAAAGAUAAGGGUUUACUCAGCCCAGAGUCCACUGCCUAGGGGGGCACCAGGUGAGUUUCCAAGAGAGGAAUCCCACCAGACAAGAGCCGGUCAACGCAGUUCCCCAGCUCAUCUAGGAGGGAGCUCUCUGAUUGCACCUUACUGGUGAGAGUAACGGCCUCAUCCAUGCUGAUAAUGCUGCAGGAAUAGGGAAGCCUCUGAAAGAUCAGCAAGGCCUUACUCACUACCCAGAAGCCACAAGACCACACCUGCAUAGAAAGUGACCAGUGUAUCUGCAGAUACUCAGGACUUUCUUGAGCCAGCAUGGAAAGCCCCAUUUUCCAGGAACUCUCUUUCCUAGGAAAACUGAAACAGUUGGUCACCCAAGAGCCAGAGCUGUCUUGACCAUAAGCAAGGCAGGUGGGAGUUGAAACAAAGAACAGAAGCCUCAGAAAAAGUCACAUUUUGAUUCCAAUUCUCCUUCGGCAUGACCAUCUGGGACAUGUGACGUAAUCUCUCAGAGAGAUCAUUCUCUCUAAAACAUUACAAUAAUUG
rnacentral:lncRNA from 1 species